rnacentral:tRNA from 1 species
GCUCAAUUGGUAGAGUACAAGGCUCUUAACCUUGUGGUCGUGGGUUCGGGCCCCAU